rnacentral:rRNA from 1 species
GACGAACGCUGGCGGCGUGCUUAACACAUGCAAGUCGAACGGAAAGGCCCUGCUUUUGUGGGGUGCUCGAGUGGCGAACGGGUGAGUAACACGUGAGUAACCUGCCCUUGACUUUGGGAUAACUUCAGGAAACUGGGGCUAAUACCGGAUAGGAUCUCCUGCUGCAUGGUGGGGGUUGGAAAGUUUCGGCGGUUGGGGAUGGACUUGCGGCUUAUCAGCUUGUUGGUGGGGUAGUGGCUUACCACGGCUUUGACGGGUAGCCGGCCUGAGAGGGUGACCGGCCACAUUGGGACUGAGAUACGGCCCAGACUCCUACGGGAGGCAGCAGUGGGGAAUAUUGCACAAUGGGCGGAAGCCUGAUGCAGCAACGCCGCGUGCGGGAUGACGGCCUUCGGGUUGUAAACCGCUUUCGCCUGUGACGAAGCGUGAGUGACGGUAAUGGGUAAAGAAGCACCGGCUAACUACGUG